rnacentral:pre_miRNA from 1 species
GUUGAGAGGAAUGUCGUCUGGCCCGAGAUCGCUCCAUGUACGGGUGAGCACGUGGAUACGGUCUCGGACCAGGCUUCAUUCCCCCUAAC